rnacentral:rRNA from 1 species
GUCCACGCCCUAAACGAUGGGCACUAGGUGUGGGAGGUAUCGACCCCUCCCGUGCCGCAGCUAACGCAUUAAGUGCCCCGCCUGGGGAGUACGGUCGCAAGACUAAAACUCAAAGGAAUUGACGGGGGCCCGCACAAGCGGUGGAGCAUGUGGUUUAAUUCGACGCAACGCGAAGAACCUUACCUGGGCUUGACAUCCCUGGAACCCCUGUGAAAGCAGGGGGUGCCUCGAAAGAGGAGCCAGGAGACAGGUGCUGCAUGGCUGUCGU